rnacentral:rRNA from 1 species
AGCGAACGCUGGCGGCAGGCCUAACACAUGCAAGUCGAACGAACUCUUCGGAGUUAGUGGCGGACGGGUGAGUAACACGUGGGAACGUGCCUUUAGGUUCGGAAUAACUCAGGGAAACUUGUGCUAAUACCGAAUGUGCCCUUCGGGGAAAGAUUUAUCGCCUUUAGAGCGGCCCGCGUCUGAUUAGCUAGUUGGUGAGGUAAAGGCUCACCAAGGCGACGAUCAGUAGCUGGUCUGAGAGGAUGAUCAGCCACAUUGGGACUGAGACACGGCCCAAACUCCUACGGGAGGCAGCAGUGGGGAAUCUUGCGCAAUGGGCGAAAGCCUGACGCAGCCAUGCCGCGUGAAUGAUGAAGGUCUUAGGAUUGAAAAUUCUUCACCGGGACGAUAAUGACGGUAACCCGGAGAAGAAGCCCGGCUAACUUCGUGCCAGCAGCCGCGGUAAU